CCGCACAAGCGGUGGAGCAUGUGGUUAAUUCGACGCAACGCGAAGAACCUUACCAGGGCUUGACAUCCCCUGACCGCGUAUGAAAGUACGUUUUCACCCUCGGGUGACAGGGAGACAGGUGGUGCAUGGUUGUCGUCAGCUCGUGUCGUGAGAUGUUGGGUUAAGUCCCGCAACGAGCGCAACCCCUACGUUUAGUUGCUAACGCGUGAAGGCGAGCACUCUAGACGAACUGCCGUUGACAAAACGGAGGAAGGUGGGAUGACGUCAAAUCAUCAUGCCCCUUAUGUUCUGGGCUACACACGUGCUACAAUGGCCGGUACAGACGGACGCAAAGCCGCGAGGUGGAGCAAAUCCUAAAAAGCCGGUCUCAGUUCGGAUUGCAGGCUGCAAUUCGCCUGCAUGAAGUCGGAAUCGCUAGUAAUCGCAGGUCAGCAUACUGCGGUGAAUACGUUCCCGGGCCUU
rnacentral:rRNA from 1 species